AGGACGAACGCUGGCGGCGUGCUUAACACAUGCAAGUCGAGCGAGGCCCCUUCCUUCGGGAGGGGAGCCCUAGCGGCGAACGGGUGAGUAACACGUGGGCAAUCUGCCCCUAGCACUGGGAUAACUCCGGGAAAACCGGGGCUAAUACCGGAUAUGACCUCCGAGGGCAUCCUCUGGAGGUGGAAAGGAUUCUGGCUAGGGAUGAGCCCGCGGCCUAUCAGCUAGUUGGUGGGGUAAUGGCCCACCGAAGGCGACGACGGGUA
rnacentral:rRNA from 1 species